GAAAAAUAAAUACAAAAAUAAACAGUAUAAAAGAUUACAGGAUGAUGUUGGUUCUAUGCGUGUUCCUGGAAUGAAAGGGAGCUUGGAGUUGUGAUCUGCCUGUUGUCGAAAGAUCUCGCCUUUUUUUUUCUUCUCAUUGAAUUCUUUCUUUUUUAUUAGUGUGUGUGUUCUAAACAAAACU
rnacentral:ribozyme from 1 species